rnacentral:tRNA from 1 species
GCAUCAGUCGCCGGAUGGAAAAGGCAAGCAGUCUGUAAAACUGUGGCUUUUAUAGCCGUGAAGGUUUGACUCCUUCCUCAUGCACCA